GAUGAACGCUGGCUACAGGCUUAACACAUGCAAGUCGAGGGGAAACGACGGGGAAGCUUGCUUCCCCGGGCGUCGACCGGCGCACGGGUGAGUAACGCGUAUCCAACCUGCCUCUGACUGAGGGAUAACCCGUCGAAAGUCGGCCUAAUACCUCAUGGCAUCGUCUGCGGGCAUCCAACGACGAUUAAAGAUUUCAUCGGUCAGGGAUGGGGAUGCGUCUGAUUAGGUUGUUGGCGGGGUAACGGCCCACCAAGGCUACGAUCAGUAGGGGUUCUGAGAGGAAGGUCCCCCACAUUGGAACUGAGACACGGUCCAAACUCCUACGGGAGGCAGCAGUGAGGAAUAUUGGUCAAUGGGCGGGAGCCUGAACCAGCCAAGUAGCGUGCAGGAUGACGGCCCUAUGGGUUGUAAACUGCUUUUAUGCGGGGAUAAAGUGAGGGACGUGUCCUUCAUUGCAGGUACCGCAUGAAUAAGGACCGGCUAAUUCCGUG
rnacentral:rRNA from 1 species